GGCGAGAGACCGAUAGCGAACAAGUACCGUGAGGGAAAGAUGAAAAGUACUUUGAAAAGAGAGUUAAAUAGCACGUGAAAUUGUUGAAAGGGAAACGAUUGAAGCCAGUCGUACCGGCGGAUAAUCAGCCUUUCGGGUGCGAUUCUGUGGGGCGUGAGGAGCUUAACCGCCUUCAUGUUUUGCAUAUUCGUGCACAUUUGGUGUACUUGUCCGUGUGGUGGGUUAACAUCAAUUUCGGUCGUCAUAAAA
rnacentral:rRNA from 1 species